ensembl:lncRNA
GCGUCUGGACUUCUUUGAGUUGCUUGAAGACGUUUCACCUCUCAUCCGAGAAGCUUCUUCAGUUCUAAGGUCAAAUGGCCGAGGGUCCCAGAUUUAAACCCAGUGGGAGUAUCCCCCCCAAAGAGGGACAAAGGACCCCCUGGUGAUCCUCUAAUCACAUGAGCCAAGGUGUGAGAAAGCGGGUGUGGUACCUAAUCAGCCAGGGUUUCGGGUGAGCCCAUUGUGAAACCUGGCCCCACCUUGUCAUGUGAAUUCCUGAGGUCAGAUGGCCCAGGAUGUGAGUGGGCGUUAAGGCGUCUGGGGAGGGAACUCAAAACUGGAUUAUAGAUGGCAGACAGUUGGUGUCGUAGACCACCACCUCUGUUCAAAGAUGGUCGCUCACAGUGGACAUAGAUGGCCUCUUUCACUCCUCUUUCAAACCAUCUGUCCUCUCUGUCCAAAAUGUGAACAUUGGCAUCCUCGAAAGAGUGACCUUUAUCCUUAAGAUGCAGGUGGACUGCUGAGUCUUGUCCUGUGGAGGUGGCUCUUCUAUGUUGUGCCAUGCGCUUGUGAAGUGGCUGUUUGGUCUCUCUAAUGUAGAGGUCUGGGCAUUCCUCGCUGCACUGUACAGCAUACACCACGUUGUUAAGUCUGUGUUUUGGAGUUUUGUCUUUCGGGUGAACCAGUUUGUGUCUGAGUGUGUUGCUGGGUCUGAAGUACACUGGGAUGUCGUGCUUGGAGAAAACUCUCCUGAGUUUCUCUGAUACACCGGCUACAUAGGGGAUGACAACGUUGUUGCGUCUGUCUUUCUUAUCCUCCCUCGCUGGUGUCUGAUCUUCUUUUCUGUGCCUCUUUGCUGACUUUAUAAACGCCCAGUUAGGAUAACCGCAUGUUUUGAGUGCUUCCUUUACGUGUGUGUGUUCCUUCUUUUUUCCCUCAGGCUUAGAGGGAACAAGUUCUGCCCGGUGGUGCUGAAGAAGCUUCUCGGAUGAGAGGCUUGUUUCCCGACUUCGCAGCCAAUAUUCAGACUGAUUUUUUUUCUCAAGAGGAUUUGUUUACGUUUUUCUUCUUCUCUGAGAGAUGCUCUUGAGAAGCAUCAGUGUUGUGCUGAUUGUCCUGUCAGUCCUGGAGCUCUGCAUCACCAUCAGCUCUUCCAUCCUGGGGAUCAAAUCUCUGAGGAGGAAGGACAAGGGAAAAAAUGAGAGCACUGAUGACUCAGAGUCGACCAAACCACUGCUGGAGGAAGUCACUGCACAGGCUGUAGCCUAAAUGUCUUUGUUCAGUUACCAGGAAUCAUGUUCCUGUGCCUUUAUGACCUACAACUAACUUGAUGUCUUGAUGAUUUAUACUAAUUAAGACUUUGUCUUCCUAAGUGCUUCUUGAAAGGAAGACAUUAUACCAAAUUGAAUCAAUUGAUAAUAUCGUUGUUGUGUUGAUUAAAAUUUAAGUUGAGAUAAGUGCCUUAAGUUUGUUGGUAAAAAUGUGUUUAUUCUUGAGAAAUAUGGGGUUAUUUUCUUUGCCAUUCUACAAUGUAUAGUGACAAUAUUAAAAAAGUUAGAAAAGAAUAUAAAUAAAAAAAAUACUGACAGUUAAAAGCAGAUAUUACACUUAUAUUGACAUAUUUUUGUAGGCUAUUUGUGAAAUGUCAGAAUAAAGAGAGAACUGUUAUGUAUUUUUUAUUGCUUUCAUUAAAGUCAGAAGUAUACAUAUACUUCCUUAGUAUUUGGUAGAAUUGCCCCGUUACUGUUUCACUUGGGCCAAAUGUUUCAGAUAUCCUUCCACCAGC